CGUUUUCACUCAAGCAAAUGGGGUUAAAAAGAAAAUUUAAUAUUUUUUAGUUACUUUUGAUAACUAAAAUCACACAAAAUAAUAGAAUAAACACAUUUUUAAUUGAUUUUAAAACCGCAGUUUUGAGCGACAAAUUUUUGUUUCAAUUUGACAUCAAGUGACAGCAUUUUGUGCAGUCAGCUCAAAAUGCUGGCGCUGUGUAUUCAACGCAUCAGUUUAAAACUGUUUUUUAGUUUAUAUAAUAAUUGUGAUAUUAUUGUUUAAUUCAUUCAACAAAAUAAUCGUUUGCGAAAGUCGAUAUUCCGAUUUACAAUAGAUGCACUUCGUUUUUGAAUGGAUUACGAAAAUGUUUUGAAACUUUGACGGUUCAUGUGGCAGCACAAACAGACAGCAUGAAAAUAGCACAAGCCCGGUGUUCCAUACAUCUUUUGUUGUGUUAUUUUUAAAUACGUUAAAUGAGGAAUCUUGCUUUAGGGCUGCAGCCCUCCAUCCACCAACGAAGGCGAGUGGAUCGAACAACAGCGGUGUCAGCAAAACAGGUGGAUCGGGCAAUUGCGCUUGGCAUGCGGCGUCAGCGGAAACGUUCUAGUUAGCCGAAUGCGUGUGGUCGUAUCACCUGACCAUCGUUAAGCCAGAUCAGCAGAACAGGAACGUACGAACCAGGUUCGAUGGGAACUAGCGCAGAAAAUAGAGUUUAGUUCAGUUUGGAUAGCCAUCGCGAUCACUGUUUAACUCGAGUUGUAAAGUGAAUAAAAAUAUAUUUUUUUAAUAUCAAUGAUCAGCCACAAUGAGUGUGACCCAAAGUGAAGUGACUUUACAAAGUGGUAUGUCCAUCAGUAGAGCGCCAUCUGGUCACCACGGCAAAUCGAAAAUGAAGGAGCCUUGGUCGAAGAAAAAAUGGACAAACUGACACCGGAGAUCCUAACCCUGAUUCUGUAAGUAAGAACCAGGUAAGAUUUAUCAUUCUGUAAAUAAAAAGUAAGUUAGGGAAGGUAGGGAACGACUUCGUAAAAAAAUGCACGGAACAUUUCUUAUUACAUUCCAAAUCUUCCAUCUCUUUUUCGAAGGGUUUUCCAAGGUUUUGUUUGAUACAAAUUGUACUUAAUCUCUUGUAGUUUUCGAGAGAAUAAGUUAAACUUUAUUCAGACCUUUUGGUCGUAAAAGAAAUUUUAUUUCUAAUUCUUAAUCUAAUGUUCUCUACUGCUCUAUGCUGGAACGCGAUUCUUUCGAUAUAUCGUAUUGCAUCGGUAUGCAUUAAAUUUAAAUAUUUAAUUAAUCAUCUUUACCUUUCUUUUGAGUGCCUAAACGAAGAUCAAUUGGUUGUAUUUCUAAGCAUGAUGUUUUUUAUAUUUUAUUUACGCUGUUGAUGUUCCCGUCUCCCAAGUCGAAAUGACUAAGCUCUCCGCUAGUUUGCUCUUCGCGUUCGAGAACCUAUGCCGCAAGAAGGGGGAGUUGGGUUCGUCCAUACUUCGAGCCGUCCCGUGACGAAUUGAAACCUGAAAGCUUGAAAGAAAACUCCCGAGUUCUGGUUUUCAAUUGAUUUCUUUCGAGUGCGAGGACUCCUUAUAUACUUUCAAAUUAGUUUACAAUUUACUUCCUAUUUGUUAACUAUCUAUAAACGUAACUCACAGAACCACGACCUAUUUGUCUCUGGGCCGUUCGGGUUAGGUAAUGGUUCCCCUAAAUCUUCUAUUUCUAUUUGUUCGAUAGGAUUGUCUUGUAUAUUUCUUUUCAUGUAGAACGUUACCCCGACGAUAACUUCUACUAAGAUUAACAAUAUGUUAGUUAAAAUUGCAAUUGCGAGAGCGUGAUGUUAACCUGUCUAGUGUUGCGGUUCGAUUGGCAAAAUCUUCAGGGAUCCUAACUGUUUUUUCGCUGAUCGCAUCGAGGGUACCGAACAAUUUCUUAUUUCUAAGAUCUUCGAUGGUUUACAUACGGUGCAAUUCAUCUUCUACGUCUUCUCCACCGAAUAUCAUUCCUUUUAUCAUACCUAACAAGCUCCGUUUGACCUUACGCGAUCCUCGUGCUACGUACCAGAUCUCACGUUCAGCAGCUAUCGUCUGUUGGCGUAUCAUGGCCACCGAAUCAUGUAGGGCAUGAUCGACGGACGGUUGAUUUCGUGCUUUGUCACUGAGCCUCUCCAAUUCGAAUCUUACCUUGGGCAGCCUGCUUGUCAAGUGCGCGAAGCUAACCUCGCGGCGUGUUUCUUUAGACAGGCGCAGAUCACGCCGACUAAAGAGCAAUAAUACUCUGACUCGUUCUCUUUUGUGAAUGACAAAUUUAUUACAACUAAUUCGCGGUUUUAUAGCUAAUUACUGCUGACCGAUCGCGGUCAGCAAUUCUUAUUCUUAUUGUACAUGUGGUUGUUAUUAUUUCGAUAUCGAGCGUGUCAUAUUCUCCGUUGGCGACACUGUUGAUGUCCUGCCGUGGUUAAACGUCCGUCUCGAAAGUUCUUAGCACUUCUCCACGCUGCACUAAACAGGUUCCAAGAUGUGUGAACACGAGUCCCUAGGAAGUGUUCCUAAGGCUUACCCUGUAUCGACUCAUGGAUCCAAACUCUCUGUCCGUGCACCUCUGUCCAUGCGUCGUUUCGGCGUGGUGUUGAAUCGAAUCGUUGUUGCUGACGUCUCGUGCUCUUUUUAUUGGCGAUUUAUGCCUUACCAAUGAGUGUGACAAGAGAUGUUCCUUCUGGCGUAUGUCCACUGUCGCGACUUUUACUGCUGGUCUUGUCAGUACAGUCUCUCCAACUUGUAUUUCCACUGCGCGAACCCGGCCGUCUGUCGCCUCAAAGGUUUUAACUACUCGUCCCUUUAGCCACUUUCCGGGAGGCGCGUUGUCGUCAGUAAGGACGACGACGUCAUUUAUUUUUAAUGGGUCGAUCUUAUCCGUCCAUUUGUUGCGCCGGAUAAGGGUAGGAAGAUAUUCCUUCUUCCAUCGAUCCCAAUAUAUUUUGGCGUGGUGUUGUACCAACUUCCACUGCUUCCGAUUUACGCCUGACGGAACGUCUGCGAAAGGAGGUACUUCGUCCACUGCCCUGCCAAUUAGGAAUUCCACUUCCUUUAGUUCGUUAACACUUCAUCUACCAUACACGUUACCGGAAUGUGAGUUAAGGGUCUCGAGUUCAACAUAGCUUCAAUCUGAAUUAACGUGGCGCGCAAGGUUUCGGGUGUUGGUUUUCGGAGGUUCCAUUGCUUCGAACAUGAAUCUAAGGGCCUUUUUGAUUGUUUGGAUCAAUCGUUCCCAUGAUCCUCCGAAGUGUGGUGCUGCGGGUGGAUUGAAAGUACAUUGAAUGUCAUAUUUCAAUGCCGCUUCUUUCCCCAUUCUGCGAUCUAUUUCUUGCAACAGCUGGUUCUAUUCUUUUUCGGCUCCAACGAAAUUGGUACCGUUAUCGCUGUACAGGUGUGUUAUUUUGCCACGCCGAUGUUGGAAGUUCUUCAGACACACUAAGAAGCUAUCUGUGUCUAGCUUUUCGGCUACUUCAAUAUGCACUGCCCUAGUAGACAUGCAAGUGAAGACUUAUAGAUUUGUCGUUUGGUUUGGCUUUUUAAAAAAAGAUCAAACACUGGACGAGUCCACUUUAUUGAACAACACCGUAAGAAGCGAAACUGUUAACUAACUGCUCGAUGUCGCUCAGCACUGUUGGGUAGCCUCUUGGACGCGUCUGUCCAGAUGGAAUGUGCUGACCUCGCGUGGGAGCCACUACUCCAGGGAUGGUUCCCGACGUUCAUGCGACACCGCGUGUGGAUCUGGUGACAUGUAACGAAUUCGUUCCCUAUCUAGUAAACGUUUCAUAACUUAGUUCUUAUUCACAGAAUGCUAAAUCUUACUUGGUGCUUACUUACAGGAUCAGCGUUAAGAUCUCCGGAGUCAGUUUUUUCAUCUUUUCUUUAAACAAGGAACCUUCGGUUUUGAUUUACUGUGGUGAUCAGAUGGGUCCUCUACUCGACGAUAAACGUUGAUGCUGGCGCGGAACUUCACUUGGGUCACGGUCUCUGUAAUCCACUGUCCACUUCAUCCAAUUGAUAUAAAAGAAUAAUUUUACUUUCUUUUACAACAAGAGAGUGGUCUCGAUGGCUAUCCAAACUGAACUAUUCGAUUUUCCCUGACCUGGCUCCUAACUGGCUCCUGGUUCGGUCAGAUGAUCAGAGCAGGAAACCUCGAUAGCGAAGAGUUAGAAAUAAUAGAAUAUAGACUAAAACUUUUAGAAAACAACACAUUUGUGUCAUUGAAAAUCAAAAGAGGUUCUGAACUACGUAAGGGCAAGCGUAACAUUUGGCAACGGCAAGAUAAUUCUGUUGGUCCAAAUUCCAAGACUAGAGUCGGAGACGCUGUAGUAGACACUAGGUUCAAGAUCUACGCGUACACACACAUUUGCGAUAUGCCUUCAACGAUGAAAGCGAUUUCAACGCGCUACCCAACACGCCACUUGAUUGACGCCACGCCAUAUGAUUCCUAAGAAUCCCGAAAGACGAUUUGGGCAGAUUAAAGAAGGGGUAAUAUUGAUUGACACUGAAGAAACAUAUCCCCAUAAUUGACUCUUGCACAGGAGAAAAGAUUAUGAAAGGGUCAGCGAUAGCAGAGAUAAUAAACUACACGGCAAUCAGCUUCAACAAAUUGCACAGCAAUUCUCCAACACCCCUCGAAUGAUGAUCAAAGUAGAAUAACUCGCACCACUGUACGUUACGACAACAGAACGGAAUACCAAUGAUAUCAACCUGGAUGAAAAUGGUACAGAUGAGUAAUUCACCUUAACAGAAUCCA